CAGCCGCCGCGGUAAUACGUAGGUGGCAAGCGUUAUCCGGAAUUAUUGGGCGUAAAGCGCGCGUAGGCGGUUUUUUAAGUCUGAUGUGAAAGCCCACGGCUCAACCGUGGAGGGUCAUUGGAAACUGGAAAACUUGAGUGCAGAAGAGGAAAGUGGAAUUCCAUGUGUAGCGGUGAAAUGCGCAGAGAUAUGGAGGAACACCAGUGGCGAAGGCGACUUUCUGGUCUGUAACUGACGCUGAGGUACGAAAGCAUGGGGAGCAAACAGGAUUAGAUACCCCGGUAGUCCCUGUCUCUUAUAC
rnacentral:rRNA from 1 species